rnacentral:rRNA from 1 species
GUCUCUGGCCAUACCACCUUGAGCACACUGGAUUCUCCUCUGAUCUCAGAAGCUAAGUAGGGCCAGGCCUGGUUAGUGCUUGGAUGGGAGAUAGGAAAGAGUCUGUCAUCUUGGGAAC